AACGCACAUUGCGCCUCCUGUUACAGGGAGGCAUGCCUGUCUGAGCGUCAUUUAAACCAAUAAACUCAUUAGAGUUUGUGUUGGGCCCUGUCCCCAAUGUGGGGCAUCGCCUUAAAGUCAUCGGUCUUAUGAGCGGACGAGUUCCUUCAAGGAAAAACCGUUUUGCGACCUUAAAAGCCAAAACAAUAUUUGACCUCAGAUCAGGUAGGGACACCGCCUGAACUUAA
rnacentral:misc_RNA from 1 species